rnacentral:rRNA from 1 species
AAGGUCCCGCCUGCCCAGUGAAUAUUUUAACGGCCGCGGUAUCCUAACCGUGCAAAGGUAGCGUAAUCACUUGUCCCCUAAAUAGGGACCUGUNUGAAUGGCUAACUGAGGGCACACCUGUCUCCUGCGGCCACCUAAUGAAACUGAUCUACUGGUACAAAAGCCAGAAUANCCACACAAGACGAGAAGACCCUGUGGAGCUUACAACCUCCUCACGCUACCAGCCCUGCCCCCAACCACGCACACCUGACUAGCGGACGGUUUAAGUUGGGGCGACUACGGAGCACAACAAACCCUCCAAGAAAUAAGGGGCUCACCCCCCCCCUACAAGGCCUACACGCCAACAAGGCACCCCUUCGACCCAGUAUAACUGACCACCGAACCAAGUUACCCCAGGGAUAACAGCNCCNUCCCCCUCCANANUCCAUAUNACCAGGGGGGUUUACNACCUNNAUGUUGGAUCANGACGCCCCGGCGGNGCANCCNCUGCCAAAGGCCCGUUUGUUCAACGGCUAACGUCCUACGUGAUCUGAG